AAAAAUCCUUCAAAAUUUUUAUUUUCGUUUUCCAUAAAAAUAAAGAUAAAAUCAACCGAAAUCCAAUACCUUCUACCUCAAGCUUUCACGUCGGGUUCACCACUUUUUGUCGUAUUACGUGCUUUCCUGCUCGAGAAUGCGCCGGGCGUCUGGCUGUAGAAGGUAGUAUGGAGAUUUGUCGAUAGUCAAGCAGUCUAUCAGUUUUGACUGCUGGAAUAU
rnacentral:lncRNA from 1 species